rnacentral:tRNA from 10 species
AGGCGGGUAGCUCAAUUGGCAGAGCAGCGGCCUCCAAAUCCGCAGGUUGCAGGUUCGAUUCCUGUCCCGCCUGCCA